AUUGAACGCUGGCGGCAUGCUUUACACAUGCAAGUCGAACGGUAACAGGGAGCUUGCUCCGCUGACGAGUGGCGAACGGGUGAGUAAUGCGUCGGAACGUGCCGAGUAGUGGGGGAUAACGCAGCGAAAGUUGUGCUAAUACCGCAUACGUACUGAGGUAGAAAGUGGGGGACCUUCGGGCCUCACGCUAUUCGAGCGGCCGACGUCUGAUUAGCUAGUAGGUGAGGUAAAGGCUCACCUAGGCGACGAUCAGUAGCGGGUCUGAGAGGAUGAUCCGCCACACUGGGACUGAGACACGGCCCAGACUCCUACGGGAGGCAGCAGUGGGGAAUUUUGGACAAUGGGCGAAAGCCUGAUCCAGCCAUGCCGCGUGUCUGAAGAAGGCCUUCGGGUUGUAAAGGACUUUUGUCGGGGAGGAAAUCCCCAGCGCUAAUACCGCUGGGGGAUGACAGUACCUGAAGAAUAAGCACCGGCUAACUACGUGCCAGCCGCCGCGGUAA
rnacentral:rRNA from 1 species